GACGAACGCUGGCGGCGUGCCUAAUACAUGCAAGUAGGACGCAGUUGCGAACGGGUGAGUAACGCGUAGGUAACUACCUAUUAGAGGGGGAUAACUAUUGGAAAAGAUAGCUAAUACCGCAUACUAGUAGAUGGAACUGCGUUGUAUUAUCUUGUUGGUAGGGUAAUGGCAUACCUAGACAAAGGUACAUAGCCGACCUGAGAGCGUGAUGGGCCACACUGGGACUGGGACACGGCCCAGACUCCUACGGGGUGCAGCCGUAGGGAAUCUUCGGCAAUGGGGGGAACCCUGACCGCGCACGUCCGCGUGAGUGAGGAAGGUUUUCGGGUCGUAAAGCUCUGUUGUUAAGGAAGCGGUACUUAACCAGAAAGGGACGGCUAACUACGUGCCAGCAGCCGCGGUAAUUC
rnacentral:rRNA from 1 species